UCUAUUUAUACCAGAAAAAGGUAGUAACCCCUGACAAACCUCUACAUCAUGGUGGCAUUUCAUUUUAUUAGAGGAAUAUGUUUAAUAAUCGUAAACACACGAUUACUUUCACUUUUAAUAAUAUUUUAUAUACCGCCGUCUAGAAUAAAUAAAAAAAUUUUAUUCAAAAUAAAUUUCUAGAAAUUUAGGUAAAGGUGUAAACUAUAUAAGAGAUAAAAUGUAUUACACUAAAAAAAAUUUAAGGAUUAAACUAAACAUAGUUUUAAGAAAAAGGAUUUAUAAGUAUAAUUUUAUUAAAAUUAUAAUUUGAAUUAAAAAAUAAAUGUAUACAUAUCGCCCGUCACCCUUAUCUCAAGGUAAGGU
rnacentral:rRNA from 1 species